rnacentral:rRNA from 1 species
GACGAAGGGGGCUAGCGUUGUUCGGAAUCAUUGGGCGUAAAGCGCACGUAGGCGGCUUGUUAAGUCGGGUGUGAAAUCCCUGGGCUCAACCCAGGAAGUGCACUCGAAACUGGCGAGCUUGAGUAUGGAAGAGGGUCGCGGAAUUCCCGGUGUAGAGGUGAAAUUCGUAGAUAUCGGGAGGAACACCAGUGGCGAAGGCGGCGACCUGGGCCAAUACUGACGCUGAGGUGCGAAAGCGUGGGGAGCAAACAGG